rnacentral:rRNA from 1 species
GAGUUUGAUCUUGGCUCAGGAUGAACGCUGGCGGCGUGCCUAACACAUGCAAGUCGAACGGAGUUCUUAAGGAAUGCGGCUUCGGCCAAAUGACUUUUGAACUUAGUGGCGGACGGGUGAGUAACGCGUGAGCAACCUGCCUUUCAGAGGGGGAUAACAUUUGGAAACAGAUGCUAAUACCGCAUAAGAUUACAGUACCGCAUGAUACAGUGAUCAAAGGAGCAAUCCGCUGAAAGAUGGGC